rnacentral:rRNA from 1 species
GAGGUUAAUGGUUUCUAGGUGGAAUCGUGGUGACACGUGGAGCUGACGGAUACUAAUCGAUCGAAGACUUAAUCAAUUU